rnacentral:tRNA from 1 species
UCCCGUGUGGCUCAGUUGGUAGAGCAUGCUGCUUGCAACACCAGGGUUGUGGGUUCCAUUCCCACGGGGGAU